CAACUGUGUGAAUUAAUGUGAACUGCAUACUGCUUUGAACAUCGACAUCUUGAACGCAUAUUGCGGCCAUGGGUUAGCCUGUGGCCACGCCUGUCCGAGGGUCGGCUUAUAAACUAUCACGACGCCCAUAUAGUCGUGGCUUGGGUUUUGCCAGCUGGCGUGAUUUCCUCAUCCAUUUUGGAUGAGGUGCCAGAUCUAUGGCUCUUCCCUAAUGUGUCCGG
rnacentral:rRNA from 1 species